GGGUUUGGAGCAUCACAGUACCAGGCAUGGCUAAAUAUUCAAACCCUCAUUUCAUCGUGCUGAAACCUAGUGCCUUAGCUUUCGAUUUCUCCGCAUAUGCUUCUUCGUAGGCCGAGUGUGUCAAUGUUCAGAAUUGCCGAUGCAGUUUGUGUGUAAUUUCGGCGCUUGAUUUGCUGGUCGAUCGCAUUUCUUUGUUCCCUGUCGAAUGAUAUGUUCCUAAUGGCUUUUUCAUUAUCUGGAUCUGCAACAGCUUGCUGUAGCAAUCAUCGACUGGGAUCAUUGCUUCACCAGCAUUCUCAACUGCACACUUGGAUGGAAGUUUGCCUCCAAAAGGGUUACAACAAUCUUUUUAAUCAUUUUCCCUAUCUGUUCAGCUCUCGGUCAAAGGUAAGCUUGAAAUCAUCACUGGAACAGCUACCUUCAAAUUUUAUCGAUGCUGGCAGAGUUUAAGAAUCCUACAAAACUUGAUCGCCAUAGUCAUUAAGUUGGAUUUUCAUUACAUACAGUAUGUUUUUGUUUUUGUUUUUGUUUUGUUUUGUUUUUGUUUUUUUUCAAAGAUUUAUGUGGAAAGUGUCAAGGUGCUAAAGAGGUCUCGAGGAACUUCGUGAAGAGGAUGAUCUUUUACAAUACUUUGUAAUGUAUUUUUUGUCAGUGAUCGUGAUUGAACAUCACGUCACAAAAUUGAAAACAUACUUCAGUUUUGAUAA